UGGCUUUUGUGGCGCGAUGGGUAAUGGGUAAUGAUGCUUCGUGGGUGUCUGUUGUUGGUGUGUGCAGAGGGUCCCUGGUUCGUGCGAGGGGACGGACAAAAGAUAUACUGUUUCAUUGAUGCUGUUGACCUGGAUCAUUGGUUGCUGUGGAAAAAGAGGAGGUCAAAAGGUUGGGACAAUGACCAAAAAACACACCUCCAGGCUGUGUAAGGGCUAUUUGACCAAGGAGAGUGAUGGAGUGCUGCAUCAGAUGACCUGGCCUUCACAAUCAACCAACCUCAACCCAACUGAGAUGGUUUGGGAUGAGUGGGACUGCAAGGAAAAGCAGCCAACAAGUGCUCAGCGAUGGGGAUUCCCUGCUUCUGAGAGAAAUGACUGCCAUCAUGCAUAAAGGGGUCGACUUAGGCUUUUCCCAUCCUGUCACACAUAUCGUGAGUGGAGUGGCCCCAGUUGAGCAUGAGCUAACCUGGAAUACCAUGGGUGUCAGACCUAGCGUUGCUUGGAUCGCUUACCACCAUACUACCACCACAGGACAGACCUUUCAUGGAGCGAUGGUUCAGAAAGCCCAAGGGGCCAGGGGCUGGGUCCAGCACACCUUGGUCCAAUUGCAGGAGAUGCUGGCUGAGAGAUACUCAACUGCUGAGCCUGUGAGGAUAUUCCCCAGCCGUCCUGAACCACAAAGAUUCAAACCAAGUGUGAU